GAUGAACGCUAGCGACAGGCUUAACACAUGCAAGUCGAGGGGCAUCACGGGAGUAGCAAUACAACUGGUGGCGACCGGCGCACGGGUGAGUAACGCGUAUGCAACCUACCUAUCAGAGGGGAAUAACCCGGCGAAAGUCGGACUAAUACCGCAUAAAACAGGGGCACCGCACGGUGAUAUUUGUUAAAGAAAUUCGCUGAUAGAUGGGCAUGCGUUCCAUUAGGUAGUUGGUGAGGUAACGGCUCACCAAGCCGACGAUGGAUAGGGGAACUGAGAGGUUGGUCCCCCACACUGGUACUGAGACACGGACCAGACUCCUACGGGAGGCAGCAGUGAGGAAUAUUGGUCAAUGGGCGGGAGCCUGAACCAGCCAAGUCGCGUGAAGGAAGAAGGAUCUAUGGUUCGUAAACUUCUUUUGCAGGGGAAUAAAGUGCAGGACGUGUCCUGUUUUGUAUGUACCCUGAGAAUAAGGAUCGGCUGACUCCGUGCCAGCAGCCGCCGUAACAC
rnacentral:rRNA from 1 species